UAAAAAAAGAGAAAAGCUACAAGAGAAGAAAAAAAAAAGAAAGAAAAGAAAAAAUUUGUUUUAUAACUUUUUAACUUAUUGUUCACUUCUUCUUCUUCUUCUUCAAUAUCUUGGUUCUUUGAUAUUAUUCUAUUGAGCAAAAAAUGGGAGUUCCAGAGAGAGACCCUCUUGCACAAUUGAGUUUGCCUCCUGGGUUUAGGUUUUACCCCACAGAUGAGGAGCUUUUGGUUCAGUACCUUUGCCGCAAGGUUGCUGGCCAUCAUUUCUCUCUUCCAAUCAUUGCUGAAGUUGAUUUGUACAAGUUUGAUCCAUGGGUUCUUCCAGGUAAGGCAGUGUUUGGAGAGAAGGAGUGGUACUUUUUUAGCCCAAGAGACAGGAAGUACCCGAAUGGUUCACGACCAAACAGAGUCGCGGGUUCUGGGUAUUGGAAAGCAACUGGAACAGACAAGAUCAUCACCACUGAAGGUAGAAAAGUUGGCAUAAAAAAAGCACUUGUUUUCUACAUUGGCAAAGCACCCAAAGGCUCCAAAACCAAUUGGAUCAUGCACGAGUAUCGCCUUCUCGAUUCUUCCCGCAAACACAACCUCGGAACCGCAAAGCUUGAUGAUUGGGUUCUAUGUCGUAUCUAUAAGAAGAACUCAAGUUCACAAAAGGUUGAGACUAAUUUUUUGGCUAUGGAAUGCAGCAAUGGGUCAUCACCUUCUUCAUCGUCCCACGUGGAUGACAUGCUGGGAUCGUUGCCGGAGAUAAAUGACCGGUGCUUCACCCUGCCACGAGUGAACUCACUCAGAACAAUGCACCAGCAGGAUGAGAAAUUCGGGUCUCCGAACAUGGGAUCCGGGUUUUUCUCGGAUUGGGUUAACUCGACCGAUCUCGAUUCGAUUUCCGAAUUCGAGUCGGGUUGCCAAACCCAAAGAAUGGUGAAUUAUGAUUGCAAUGACUUUUUUGUUCCUUCUCUGCCGCCCUUGGGCCAUGUGGACUACAUGGUGGAUGCACCUUUGGAGGAGGAGGUUCAAAGUGGUGUGAGAACCCGACGGGUCGACGGGCCGGGGCAUUUUCAACCGAAUCCAGAUACCCGAUUGUUACCGGGCUCAGGUGACCCAUUCGGGUUUGGGUUUAUUAUGGGUCAGCAAGUUGGGUUCGGGGUUAGGGAGUGAAGUGAAGGAUCAGAAAGUGUAAUUGUGUAAAUAAUUGGGGAUUUUAGUUUAAUUUGAAUUCUAUGACCAUUGUUAUGGUUUGUGUUAUUGAUUCCCGCUUGGAAAGGAAAAAUUGCAAUUUUGGUCAUACUUUUCGGCUAGAACAAGAUGAAGGACGGUUGACACAUUAUGAAACUGAGAAAGGACGCAAUGGUGAUUGCACCACAACCACAACAAUGCAUGCUGAAAAGUAAUUGCUUUGUAAGACAUUAUUGCCUAAACAUGAAUCACGUUGUACUUCAAAGCAUUAAUACAUAGCAACUAUUUUCCAAAGUUUAGUUUAGAACAUUAGAUAUUGGUAUUUUUAUUUGGCUAGUGUCCCAUGCAUCCUUGUAGACAACCUAAUUAACAUGUAAUGAAGAUAUGUCCACCAUUUGCUAUAAAGUUGUCUUGCCUCGC